rnacentral:lncRNA from 1 species
CAGGUCCCUCUACAUCUGUGGAAUUCUCUGGGAUGGCAGUUCAGGGGACAUCUCACCAGGGACAAUCUAAUGAGAAGAUCCUAAGUGAGUGUGUCUCCAGGGCCUGUCAGACCAGGGCUCUUGACCUCCCGCCAAUCGAUCCGGAUGCUUUCAACCCGAUUAUCAUCCGGUUUCUGGAAAAACUUACUGAGGAGUAUGUCCAAACUUCUAUUGUAGUAUUUGAAUGCAAUGUCAUCUGGAGGAUUUUAUAAAUUGUGUGUGUGUUGGUGUGCUUUUUGGUGCUAAAAACAUCUAAUUAUCUCCUAUAGGCAAUGGAGGCAGUUAAGCAUUGGCAGGAUGGACCCUGUGAUGAGGGCAUUGCUUGCAGAGAUGUGCCUGGAGAUUGUGCGGUUUGUAUCUGAGGCCAUCCUGGAGGUCAUCAUCCCUGCAAUUUUCCGUUUUGUACGGAUAUACAGCCAUGUGUCUCCAGUAUCCGGCAAGUCUCUGACAGAAUCAGAGAGAUCCUCUAGCACAAACCUGAAGGUUCGCAAGAGAGGCAGCAGCAAAUCCUCAAGGUGUUGCACGGCCAAAUCAAGCUCCUCACGUAAUGGGUAUGUUCAGUCAUUCCUAAAGAAACCGGUUUCACCUAACUAUUCAUAACCCAUUUUGUGAAAAUAUGUUUUGUUAUCUGUAUAACAGUUUACUCUUAAUGACCAGUUUAACUGAUUACUGAAUGAUGUAUUAAUGUCACUACCGUGUCUACUAUUGAAUAUGGAAUGCUGUAUUGUUUGCUUUGUAUUCUCAAAGGUCUCAGACAGUGUUGCCAAAUACUCAGGGAGAUGGUGAGUCUAUAUCAUCUGAGCCACUCAGGGACUUUUUUGGGAUCACUGAGGACAGUCUCCUCACUGGUGUCCAGGAUUCCUUCAAAGAGUUGCUGAACAAUGUCCUCUGUAUCCAAAGAGAGGACCAGGUAGACACUCAAAGUCUAUCCCGGGUUAUUGUUGGAGAAGUGUCAAAGAAGGUCAAUUCCCUAAUCUCUGUGGCCAUCC